rnacentral:lncRNA from 1 species
GGAAACUGAAAAGCGUUAUGUAGUUGAGAAAGGGCUGCCAGAGGAAGCCAGAUUUAAAUGGCAAUGAUCAAAAUUCGUACGUAAGAAAUGAAAGUUCUCGCAUUUUAUCCAUAAUUUACCAUCUGAAAGUUUAUAUAAAUGCUGAAAAUUUCUGAAAUAUCAAAUCGACAGACUAAUGGUCUUCCUUGCAUUCCUGUCGAUUAGUCACGCAAUUUUGUUGCCCAAGCAUAACACCGGUGAAGCCAGCUCUCAAUAUCAAAUUUCGAAUUCAAAUUCAAAAACGAUUAGUGCCUAUGUCAUAUCGAUAACUGAAGCCGAAAGUCUCACUGCUAUGACACUCACACUCCGCUACUAUUCUGCUAUAAAACGAGGCAAAUAUUGGUAAACAAGGUAUUAAAUUAACAAGUUCUUAG